UACGUAGGGUGCGAGCGUUGUCCGGAAUUAUUGGGCGUAAAGAGCUCGUAGGCGGCUUGUCACGUCGGGUGUGAAAGCCCGGGGCUUAACCCCGGGUCUGCAUUCGAUACGGGCUGGCUAGAGUGUGGUAGGGGAGAUCGGAAUUCCUGGUGUAGCGGUGAAAUGCGCAGAUAUCCGGAGGAACACCGGUGGCGAAGGCGGCUUCCUGGACCGACACUGACGCUGAGGCGCGAAAGCUAGGGGAGCAAACGGG
rnacentral:rRNA from 1 species